GGCUGGGACGACACAUCUGUUAAAAGAUAACGCAAUUAUCCUAAGAUGAGCUCAAUGAGAACAGAAAUCUCGUGUGGAACAAAAUGGUAAAAGGUCAUUUGAUUCUGAUUUUCAGUACGAGUACGAACUCUGAAAGCGUAA
rfam:Citrus sinensis cultivar Ridge Pineapple sweet orange scaffold01192_contig_2, whole genome shotgun sequence.